rnacentral:rRNA from 1 species
AAAAAAGGUAAGCUACUAAGAGCGAAUGGUGGAUGCCUUGACUGGUAAAGGCGAUGAAGGACGUACUAGACUGCGAUAAGCUACGGGGAGCUGUCAAGAAGCUUUGAUCCGUAGAUUUCCGAAUGGGGCAACCCAAUGUAUAGAGAUAUACAUUACCUAUAUAGGAGCGAACGAGGGGAAUUGAAACAUCUUAGUACUCUCAGGAAAAGAAAUCAAUAGAGAUUGCGUCAGUAGCGGCGAGCGAAAGCGCAAGAGGGCAAACCCAGUGCUUGCACUGGGGGUUGUAGGACUGCAAUGUGCAAGAGGUAAGUUUAGCAGAACAUUCUGGAAAGUAUAACCAUAGAGGGUGAUAGUCCCGUAUGCGAAAAACAAACCUUAGCUAGCAGUAUCCUGAGUAGGGCGGGACACGAGAAAUCCUGUCUGAAUCCGGGUCGACCACGAUCCAACCCUAAAUACUAAUACCAGAUCGAUAGUGCACAAGUACCGUGAGGGAAAGGUGAAAAGAACUGAGGUGAUCAGAGUGAAAUAGAACCUGAAACCAUUUGCUUACAAUCAUUCAGAGCCCUAUGUAGCAAUACAGGGUGAUGGACUGCCUUUUGCAUAAUGAGCCUGCGAGUUGUGGUGUCUGGCAAGGUUAAGCAAACGCGAAGCCGUAGCGAAAGCGAGUCUGAAUAGGGCGCUUAGUCAGAUGCUGCAGACCCGAAACGAAGUGAUCUAUCCAUGAGCAAGUUGAAGCUAGUGUAAGAACUAGUGGAGGACUGAACCCAUAGGCGUUGAAAAGCCCCGGGAUGACUUGUGGAUAGGGGUGAAAGGCCAAUCAAACUUCGUGAUAGCUGGUUCUCUCCGAAAUAUAUUUAGGUAUAGCGUUGUGUCGUAAUAUAAGGGGGUAGAGCACUGAAUGGGCUAGGGCAUACACCAAUGUACCAAACCCUAUCAAACUCCGAAUACCUUAUAUGUAAUCACAGCAGUCAGGCGGCGAGUGAUAAAAUCCGUCGUCAAGAGGGAAACAACCCAGACUACCAGCUAAGGUCCCUAAAUCUUACUUAAGUGGAAAACGAUGUGAAGUUACUUAAACAACCAGGAGGUUGGCUUAGAAGCAGCCAUCCUUUAAAGAAAGCGUAAUAGCUCACUGGUCUAGUGAUUUUGCGCGGAAAAUAUAACGGGGCUAAAGUAAGUACCGAAGCUGUAGACUUAGUUNNNNNNNNNNNNNNNNNNNNNNNNNNNNNNNNNNNNNNNNNNNNNNNNNNNNNNNNACUAAGUGGUAGGAGAGCGUUCUAUUUGCGUCGAAGGUAUACCGGUAAGGAGUGCUGGAGCGAAUAGAAGUGAGCAUGCAGGCAUGAGUAGCGAUAAUUAAUGUGAGAAUCAUUAACGCCGUAAACCCAAGGUUUCCUACGCGAUGCUCGUCAUCGUAGGGUUAGUCGGGUCCUAAGUCGAGUCCGAAAGGGGUAGACGAUGGCAAAUUGGUUAAUAUUCCAAUACCAACAUUAGUGUGCGAUGGAAGGACGCUUAGGGCUAAGGGGGCUAGCGGAUGGAAGUGCUAGUCUAAGGUCGUAGGAGGUUAUACAGGCAAAUCCGUAUAACAAUACUCCGAGAACUGAAAGGCUUUUUGAAGUCUUCGGAUGGAUAGAAGAACCCCUGAUGCCGUCGAGCCAAGAAAAGUUUCUAAGUUUAGCUAAUGUUGCCCGUACCGUAAACCGACACAGGUGGGUGGGAUGAGUAUUCUAAGGCGCGUGGAAGAACUCUCUUUAAGGAACUCUGCAAAAUAGCACCGUAUCUUCGGUAUAAGGUGUGGUUAGCUUUGUAUUAGGAUUUACUCCGAAAGCAAGGAAACUUACAACAAAGAGUCCCUCCCGACUGUUUACCAAAAACACAGCACUCUGCUAACUCGUAAGAGGAUGUAUAGGGUGUGACGCCUGCCCGGUGCUCGAAGGUUAAUUGAUGGGGUUAGCAUUAGCGAAGCUCUUGAUCGAAGCCCGAGUAAACGGCGGCCGUAACUAUAACGGUCCUAAGGUAGCGAAAUUCCUUGUCGGUUAAAUACCGACCUGCAUGAAUGGCGUAACGAGAUGGGAGCUGUCUCAAAGAGGGAUCCAGUGAAAUUGUAGUGGAGGUGAAAAUUCCUCCUACCCGCGGCAAGACGGAAAGACCCCGUGGACCUUUACUACAGCUUGACACUGCUACUUGGAUAAGAAUGUGCAGGAUAGGUGGGAGGCUUUGAGUAUAUGACGCCAGUUGUAUAUGAGCCAUUGUUGAGAUACCACUCUUUCUUAUUUGGGUAGCUAACCAGCUUGAGUUAUCCUCAAGUGGGACAAUGUCUGGUGGGUAGUUUGACUGGGGCGGUCGCCUCCCAAAUAAUAACGGAGGCUUACAAAGGUUGGCUCAGAACGGUUGGAAAUCGUUCGUAGAGUAUAAAGGUAUAAGCCAGCUUAACUGCAAGACAUACAAGUCAAGCAGAGACGAAAGUCGGUCUUAGUGAUCCGGUGGUUCUGUGUGGAAGGGCCAUCGCUCAAAGGAUAAAAGGUACCCCGGGGAUAACAGGCUGAUCUCCCCCAAGAGCUCACAUCGACGGGGAGGUUUGGCACCUCGAUGUCGGCUCAUCGCAUCCUGGGGCUGGAGCAGGUCCCAAGGGUAUGGCUGUUCGCCAUUUAAAGCGGUACGCGAGCUGGGUUCAGAACGUCGUGAGACAGUUCGGUCCCUAUCUGCCGUGGGCGUAAGAAGAUUGAAGAGAUUUGACCCUAGUACGAGAGGACCGGGUUGAACAAACCACUGGUGUAGCUGUUGUUCUGCCAAGAGCAUCGCAGCGUAGCUAAGUUUGGAAAGGAUAAACGCUGAAAGCAUCUAAGCGUGAAGCCAACUCUAAGAUGAAUCUUCUCUAAGCUCUCUAGAAGACUACUAGUUUGAUAGGCUGGGUGUGUAAUGGAUGAAAGUCCUUUAGCUGACCAGUACUAAUAGAGCGUUUGGCUUAUCUUUAAUAAAGCAU